ACUUGCUUUCUUUGCUGGCGACCGGCGCACGGGUGAGUAACACGUACCCAACCUGCCCUUUACUCGGGGAUAGCCUUUCGAAAGAAAGAUUAAUACCCGAUAGCAUAAUGAUUCCGCAUGGUUUCAUUAUUAAAGGAUUCCGGUAAAGGAUGGGGAUGCGUUCCAUUAGGUUGUUGGUGAGGUAACGGCCCACCAAGCCUUCGAUGGAUAGGGGUUCUGAGAGGAAGGUCCCCCACAUUGGAACUGAGACACGGUCCAA
rnacentral:rRNA from 1 species